AAGUAGUAACUGAUUUGACUACCAUUAGUACCUCGCUGGCUUACUACACAUCUGAUCGGAUAUAUCAAACUCAUCAGUCAAAUCUGAACCUCUCUAAUGACAAAGUAACACGAUUUGUGUAUGCAAUGUUAAUAUACAUUUUAUGGCGUAAAUAAGUUGAAGUUCUGUUGGGAAAGUUGUAUUAUUAUCAUUAUAUUAUCGUUCGGGAUCUCAAAUAUCGAGAGGUCUCCUGGCAUUAACCUGAGUAUCAUGGCUUUAAAAUAAAGUCUGACACAAUUUAUAUACAAACUUCUUUCCGCCCCCAUCCACAGGCUGUCAAAUAUCUAUUAAAAGCAACCAGUCACAACAGUGAAAUUGACCAAACUUUUAAAAUUACUAAAAAUCAUCAAUGUAAUGUACGCAAACAAACUCAUUAAUAUAGUUUAAUGUAAACUAUUGUUUUCUCUGAGCCAAUCAGAUUUACAAUCGAAAUACGGUUGUAAGGCAUGGACUUUUGUUAAGUCUUGUAUCAGGCCUAUUUAUUUACUUAUAGGCCUGAUCGCAGGUUUACCUGGCAUCUCGUGCAAUGAACUAAUAGUAGAUGGUUUUUUAUAGAUGGAAU